rnacentral:rRNA from 1 species
UACGAAGGGGGCUAGCGUUGUUCGGAAUCACUGGGCGUAAAGGGCGCGUAGGCGGCUCGGUAAGUAGGGGGUGAAAUCCUGCGGCUUAACCGCAGGGCUGCCUUCUAAACUGUCGAGCUCGAGCACGGUAGAGGCAGAUGGAAUUCCCGGUGUAGCGGUGGAAUGCGUAGAGAUCGGGAAGAACAUCAGUGGCGAAGGCGGUCUGCUGGGCCGUUGCUGACGCUGAGGCGCGACAGCGUGGGGAGCAAACAGG